GUGCCACCGCGCCCCCUUGAGGACUGGAGGAGCGGAACUGCCUAGUCAGGCCCAGGGUAGCGCGACCGAGGUGGAGCCACUGGGUGGCCAGCGCAGGAGACCCGAGCCUCGAGACCCCUGGGUCUGGCUGUCACGCCCGCAGCCUAGCAAGGGCGAGGGAGACAUAAACUCAGCAAUGCAACCGAAAGGGCCCCAGCUGUCACCCCUUGCAAAGAAACAACAGCAAUCUUGGAGAUUGGGGAGUACUAGGUAUUUAGUUCCAGACGUGAUGAGCCUUGGAACAUCCAGGUGGAGCCCGCUGCGAGCUGAGCUGGUGUCUCCAUCAGAAGCUCCAGGAGCCAUGUGAAAUGCAGUCAUCAGCAGAAGGGACACGGCCUGAGAAAAGGAGACUAUUGCAAACCUGGGAAACAGCCACGUGCGUUAAGGGUUAGAGAGAAGGCACAGAGCCCAGAAAAGAGGCAGAGGAGAAAUUGUCAGGGAGAGAAAAGGAGACCGGGGGUGGAGUGGGGGUGGGGGGUUCAAUGUGAGGGGAGGAGCAGGUUCUAAGGAGGGCUGACUCUGUGAUCUCAGGGGGCAUACAGGGCACAGGUACAAAGACCUGAAACAAAUUGAUUGAUUGUAACCAUUGGUGACCUCGAGCAGAGGAGGUGCAGUCAGAUUGAGGUCUGAGUGCAAUUGAUGGAGAGAGGCAGAAAAGAUGUAAAAGUGGAGGCAGCAGCUUUGUACUCUAUCAGGGCCCAACCAUAAACGGAAGAGCUCACCACGUGGCCUGAAGACAUUGGUGAAGAAAGAGUGUUUUGUUGUUUUUUAAUUUUUUAAUUUUUUAUUUAAUUAUUUAUUUAUUUUUUCUCAAACCCUUGUGUCAAGGGCUGACUUUCAAUAGAUCGAAGCGAGGGAGCUGCUCUGCUACGUACGAAACCCCGACCCAGAAGCAGGUCGUCUAAGAAUGGUUUAGCACCAGAUUCCCCACGAAUGUGCGUUGUGUGAAGGGGAGGGAGAGGCCCCCUUUCCAGCCAAGCCUCGAUUCCCGGGAGGAGGGGCUCUCCGCACCUGACCCCGGUCCCGACGAACGUUGCGCAU
rnacentral:lncRNA from 1 species